CCAGACUCCUCGGGAGGCAGCAGUGGGGAAUAUUGCACAAUGGGCGAAAGCCUGAUGCAGCGACGCCGCGUGAGUGAAGAAGUAUUUCGGUAUGUAAAGCUCUAUCAGCAGGGAAGAGAAUGACGGUACCUGACUAAGAAGCCCCGGCUAACUACGUGCCAGCAGCCGCGGUAAUACGUAGGGGGCAAGCGUUAUCCGGAAUUACUGGGUGUAAAGGGAGCGUAGACGGCAAUGCAAGUUCGGAGUGGAAUGCAUCAGCUCAACUGAUGAACUGCUCUGAAAACUGUAUAGCUAGAGUGCAGGAGGGGUAAGCGGAAUUCCUGGUGUAGCGGUGAAAUGCGUAGAUAUCAGGAGGAACACCGGUGGCGAAGGCGGCCUGCUGGACGGCGACUGACGUUGAGGCUCGAAAGCGUGGGGAGCGAACAGGAUUAGAUACCCGAGUACA
rnacentral:rRNA from 1 species